GACAGGGGGCUCGAGCGUUAAUCGGAAUCACUGGGCUUAAAGGGUGCGUAGGCGGGCCAGUAAGCGUCUUGUGAAAUCCCCCGGCUCAACCGGGGAACCGCGGGGCGAACUGCUGGUCUUGAGGAAGCUAGAGGCGGGCAGAACGAUAGGUGGAGCGGUGGAAUGCGUAGAUAUCUAGCGGAAUGCCGAAAGUGAAGACAGCCCGCUGGGGCUUUACUGACGCUGAGGCACGAAAGCGUGGGGAGCAAACGGG
rnacentral:rRNA from 1 species